rnacentral:lncRNA from 1 species
UCCUGUUAUGGAAACAGUCAAACCCUGACAUUCAGCAAGUCAAUCUAUAGAGCAACUGGAUAAACAACCAAGAUAAUCAUCAGCCAUCAUCGGCACAAUAGCCAAAAUGGCAUUGCUUGGGGACAAGGGGCUGGCUCAGACCCAAACAAUUCAGAUUGAGAAGUGUCUGUUCAUGUCCUCUGCCUUUUGAGACAGAGUCUCGCUCUGUCACCCAGGCUUGAGUGCAGUGGCAGCAGUCUGGGCUCACUGCAAGCUCCGCCUCCUGGGUUCACGCCGUUCUCCUGCCUCAGCCCCCCGAGUAGCUGGGACUACAGGUACCCACCACCACGCCCGGCUAAUUUUUUGUAUUAUUGGUCUAUGUGUCAGUUUUUGUAUCAGCACCAUGCUGUUUUGGUUACCAUAGCCCUGUAGUAUAGUUUGAAGUUGGAUAGCAUGAUGCCUCCAGCUUUGUUCUUUUUGCUUAGGAUUGCCUUGGCUACUUGGGCUCUUUUCUGGUUUCAUAUGAAUUUUAAAAUAAUUUUUUUCUAAUUCUGUGAAUAAUGUCAUUGGUAGUUUGAUAGGGAUAGUAUUGAAUCUGUAAAUUGUUUUGGGUAGUAUGGCCAUUUUAAUUGGGAGGUGAGAAAGGAACCUUGUUCCUAACUGGGCCCAGGUCUGGAGGAGGCUGAGCACUGAGUCAGAUUCUGUGUCGAGAAUGUGACAAGGACGAGGGUAUUCUAGUACAUAAAUCACCCUGAAUUUGGACCCAGGUGACCGCAGGACUAUUACCUAAUUGGGAGGAUGCUUCUUGUGUCCUCUCUGAUAUUUACACGGGCACUUGGUGUUCCUAGAAGCUGUUCUUCUAUUUAGAUUGCGUGCAUUGUUUAGGAGGUGGUCUGACUGUUGCUUUAGAGAGUGGGUUCUGGAAUCAGUCGUACCUUGCUUCUAAUCCUGCUUCUGCCAUCUCCACAAGGGGCUGUGGACAGGUUAUCUAGCCUCGCAGAGCUUCACUUUCCUUAUCACUACAUGGGGGAUAAGAAUAGGCUGACCUCCGCAGUCACAGUGACGACAGCAUAGUAAGGCAUCCAUAACUAGUUUGCUGUGAUGAUGGCGUUGAUGUUCUGCAGCCCAGGUUACAACUUUAACC